rnacentral:rRNA from 1 species
AGCAGCCGGUAAGACGUGAAAACACCCGAUCCCAUCCCGACCUCGAUAUGUGAAAUCGUCUUACGCCAUAUGUACUGAAAGAUUUCGGGAGACAUGGAGAGAGAGAGAGGA